rnacentral:sRNA from 1 species
UUUGUGUGCAGAGGGAGGAGGAGGAGGUGGCGGCGGCCGCCGGGCUGGAGACCCCGCCCGGGGAGCCCCCAGCAGGAACAAUGCUAGCCUGCCUGACCCGAGGGAACUUACUGGACGUCCUGCAGGAGGGCUUCAAUGAGCAACAGCUGCAGGCGUAUGUGGCCUGGGUGAAUGCACAGCUGAAGAAGAGGCCAGCAGUGAAGCCUGUGCAGGACCUGCGACAAGAUCUCCGGGAUGGGGUGAUCCUGGCAUAUCUCAUCGAGAUUGUUGCAGGAGAAAAGCUGAGUGGGGUACAGCUGAGUCCCAGUAACCAGCAGGAGAUGAAGAAUAAUGUGGAGAAAGUGCUACAGUUUGUGGCCUCUAAAAAGAUUCGUAUGCACCAGACUUCGGCUAAAGAUAUUGUGGAUGGAAACCUGAAGUCUAUCAUGAGGCUGGUCCUUGCCUUGGCAGCUCAUUUCAAACCUGGCUCUAGCAGGACGGUGAACCAAGGACGGGACUCCAGAGCCCCUCUGCAAAGUCACCGACCACACUGUGCCACUGCUGUUGCCCAGGGAGCAGCUGCUGCUCUGGCCGAUGUGUGUCAUGACAUGUCCCGAUCAGGACGGGAUGUCUUUCGAUAUAGACAGAGGUAAGGGUAGAAAUCCGGGGGUGGGAACUAAUCCCUCUCUCUGAUACUUCUUCUGUUAGAUGAUACAGUGCAGUAGAUAGAAACGUCACCCAAACAGCCCCAGAUUGCAGAAA